AUUGAACGCUGGCGGCAGGCCUAACACAUGCAAGUCGAGCGGAUGAGUGGAGCUUGCUCCAUGAUUCAGCGGCGGACGGGUGAGUAAUGCCUAGGAAUCUGCCUGGUAUGGGGGACAACGUUUCGAAAGGACGCUAAUACCGCAUACGUCCUACGGGAGAAAGCAGGGGACCUUCGGGCCUUGCGCUAUCAGAUGAGCCUAGGUCGGAUUAGCUAGUAGGUGAGGUAAUGGCUCACCUAGGCGACGAUCCGUAACUGGUCUGAGAGGAUGAUCAGUCACACUGGAACUGAGACACGGUCCAGACUCCUACGGGAGGCAGCAGUGGGGAAUAUUGGACCAAUGGGC
rnacentral:rRNA from 1 species